UUAAGCGACUAAGCGUACACGGUGGAUGCCUAGGCAGUCAGAGGCGAUGAAGGGCGUGCUAAUCUGCGAUAAGCGUCGGUAAGCUGAUAUGAAGCGUUAUACCCGACGAUACCCGAAUGGGGAAACCCAGUGUGUUUCGACACACUAUCAUUACGUGAAUACAUAGCGUAAUGAGGCGAACCGGGGGAACUGAAACAUCUCAGUACCCCGAGGAAAAGAAAUCAACCGAGAUUCCCCUAGUAGCGGCGAGCGAACGGGGAGGAGCCCAGAACCUGAAUCAGUUUGUGUGUUAGUGGAAGCGUCUGGAAAGUCGCACAGUAAAGGGUGAUAGUCCCGUACACAAAAAUGCACAAAUUGUGAGUUCGAUGAGUAGGGCGGGACACGUGACAUCCUGUCUGAAUAUGGGGGGACCAUCCUCCAAGGCUAAAUACUCCUGACUGACCGAUAGUGAACCAGUACCGUGAGGGAAAGGCGAAAAGAACCCCGGCGAGGGGAGUGAAAUAGAACCUGAAACCGUGUACGUACAAGCAGUGGGAGCCUUGAUUAAUCAGGGUGACUGCGUACCUUUUGUAUAAUGGGUCAGCGACUUAUAUUCUGUAGCAAGGUUAACCGUAUAGGGGAGCCGUAGGGAAACCGAGUCUUAACUGGGCGUUAAGUUGCAGGGUAUAGACCCGAAACCCGGUGAUCUAGCCAUGGGCAGGUUGAAGGUUGGGUAACACUAACUGGAGGACCGAACCGACUAAUGUUGAAAAAUUAGCGGAUGACUUGUGGCUGGGGGUGAAAGGCCAAUCAAACCGGGAGAUAGCUGGUUCUCCCCGAAAGCUAUUUAGGUAGCGCCUCGUGAAUUCAUCUUCGGGGGUAGAGCACUGUUUCGGCUAGGGGGUCAUCCCGACUUACCAACCCGAUGCAAACUACGAAUACCGAAGAAUGUUAUCACGGGAGACACACGGCGGGUGCUAACGUUCGUCGUGAAGAGGGAAACAACCCAGACCGCCAGCUAAGGUCCCAAAGUCAUGGUUAAGUGGGAAACGAUGUGGGAAGGCACAGACAGCCAGGAUGUUGGCUUAGAAGCAGCCAUCAUUUAAAGAAAGCGUAAUAGCUCACUGGUCGAGUCGGCCUGCGCGGAAGAUGUAACGGGGCUAAACCAUGCACCGAAGCUGCGGCAGCGACACUUAGGUGUUGUUGGGUAGGGGAGCGUUCUGUAAGCCGUCGAAGGUGGCCUGUGAGGGUUGCUGGAGGUAUCAGAAGUGCGAAUGCUGACAUAAGUAACGAUAAUGCGGGUGAAAAACCCGCACGCCGGAAGACCAAGGGUUCCUGUCCAACGUUAAUCGGGGCAGGGUGAGUCGACCCCUAAGGCGAGGCUGAAAAGCGUAGUCGAUGGGAAACAGGUUAAUAUUCCUGUACUCGGUGUUACUGCGAAGGGGGGACGGAGAAAGCUAGGUUAUCCGGGCGACGGUUGUCCCGGUUUAAGCGUGAAGGUGGAUGACUUUGGUAAAUCCGGGUCGUCAUUAACACUGAGGCGUGAUGACGAGUCACUACGGUGAUGAAGUAACCAAUGCUACGCUUCCAGGAAAAGCCUCUAAGCUCCAGGUAACAUCAAAUCGUACCCCAAACCGACACAGGUGGUCAGGUAGAGAAUACUCAGGCGCUUGAGAGAACUCGGGUGAAGGAACUAGGCAAAAUGGUGCCGUAACUUCGGGAGAAGGCACGCUGAU
rnacentral:rRNA from 1 species